AGCUAUGUGUGUGUGCGCACGCCAGCCCCGGAAUAGACGCGGGGCGCGGCGGGCGAAGUGUGUAUGAUGAGGCCUUCGGGUUGUAAAGUACUUUCUUCAAAGAGGAAGGCGUUGUGGUUAAUAACCUUGGUUAUUGACGUUACCCGCAGAAGAAGCACCGGUUAACUCCGUGCCUUCUUCCUUGGUAAUCAAUAUAUUACCCC
rnacentral:rRNA from 1 species